AACGAACGCUGGCGGCAUGCCUAACACAUGCCGGUCGAACGAAGGCUUCGGCCUUAGUGGCGCACGGGUGCGUAACGCGUGGGAAUCUGCCCUUUGCUUCGGAAUAACAGUUAGAAAUGACUGCUAAUACCGGAUGAUGUCGCAAGACCAAAGAUUUAUCGGCAAAGGAUGAGCCCGCGUAGGAUUAGCUAGUUGGUGGGGUAAAGGCCUACCAAGGCGACGAUCCUUAGCUGGUCUGAGAGGAUGAUCAGCCACACUGGGACUGAGACACGGCCCAGACUCCUACGGGAGGCAGCAGUGGGGAAUAUUGGACAAUGGGCGAAAGCCUGAUCCAGCAAUGCCGCGUGAGUGAUGAAGGCCUUAGGGUUGUAAAGCUCUUUUACCCGGGAUGAUAAUGACAGUACCGGGAGAAUAAGCGCCGGCUAACUCCGUG
rnacentral:rRNA from 1 species